GAUGAACGCUGGCGGCGUGCUUAACACAUGCAAGUCGAACGAUGAAGCCCAGCUUGCUGGGUGGGUUAGUGGCGAACGGGUGAGUAACACGUGAGUAACCUGCCCUUAACUCUGGGAUAAGCCUGGGAAACUGGGUCUAAUACCGGAUAGGAGCGUCCACCGCAUGGUGGGUGUUGGAAAGAUUUAUCGGUUUUGGAUGGACUCGCGGCCUAUCAGCUUGUUGGUGAGGUAAUGGCUCACCAAGGCGACGACGGGUAGCCGGCCUGAGAGGGUGACCGGCCACACUGGGACUGAGACACGGCCCAGACGCCUACGGGAGGCAGCAGUGGGGAAUAUUGCACGAUGGGCGCAAGCCUGAUGCAGCGACGCCGCGUGGGGGAUGACGGCCUUCGGGUUGUAAACCUCUUUCAGUAGGGAAGAAGCGAAAGUGACGGUACCUGCAGAAGAAGCACCGGCUAACUACGUG
rnacentral:rRNA from 1 species